AACGCACAUUGCACCCUCUGGUAUUCUGGGGGGUAUGCCUGUUCGAGCGUCAUUUCAACCCUCAAGCACUGCUUGGUAUUGGAUGCCAUCAUUUGUGGUGCAUCUCAAAGGCAUUGGCAGCAGCAUUCAACUUCUAGUGUAGUAGUUUUCUUGCUUUGGAGUUUGGGUGACUGCUGGAACCCUCAUUUUUCAAUGGUUGACCUCGGAUCAGGCAGGGAUACCCGCUGAACUUAA
rnacentral:misc_RNA from 1 species